rnacentral:pre_miRNA from 1 species
ACAGUACUCCCUCCGUUCGGAAUUACUUGUCAUAGAAAUGGAUGUAUCUAGAUAUAUUUUAGUUUUAGAUACAUCCAUUUCCGAGACAAGUAAUUCCAAACGGAGGGAGUACUGG